UUUUUAAAUUUAUCAUGACGAUAAUGGAAAUGAUAUUUUCUUGUAUGAGAAAAAUUGAAAAAUAGAAAAAUAUAAUAAAUAUGGCAUAAUGUGAAAGCAAAAUGAUACACAAAAAAAUUUAGGGAAAAAAGUGAUAUAUUUAUAUAUUGUUGAAACCAAGUCGGAUCAAAAAGAUAUUGUUCCAUAUUUCAAGUGGAUCGAUGAUAACCUAUAAAGGUUUCAUCCUAUCAAAGAAGAUUCAUGAAAAUUUUCCAAAAGAGAAGAAAGAUGGGACGCUCUGUGGAAAUAAAGAAAUAUGUUCAAGAGCCAUUAAUCUUAUUCACAGAUAUUGCUAAGAAGACCAUUUAGUAUUGAAUGUAAAAUAUUACUUUGUAACAAGGAAGUUAAUAAUUGCAGUGUGCAUGAAACUAGAAAUAUGAUCUAAGAUAAACUAAAAGUUGGCAAUGCCUUAAGGAAAAAUAAUCUGCAGACAAAAUAAAAUUUCUAAUGUGAAAUAUAAACUGGAUUCCUACAUUUUCUAAUGAUUCAGAUAUUAGAAGAUUUUCUCGCUGAACUUAUAAGAGAGAGAGAGAGAGAGAGGCAUUUCUAAUGGUGAGAAACUACUGUACACAUUACUGUACAGUUCAUAUGUUAGGAAUAUUCUUAAUAAUCUUUGUGAGAUGAUAAUGAUAGCUUAAUAUUACAAUAUAUACAAAGUCUUAAUCAUUCAGAGAUGCCAAAGUAAAUAUUGAGAUACCGAUAGAAGUAGUAAGAUAAAAUCUAUGAAAUCUGUGACAGUAUUAAUCUUUUAUUAAAAUGAGAAAUCUUUUAAUAUUUGUCAAUAGAAUCAUUUCAAUUAUAAAUUGUUGGAAAUAUUAUUACAGAUAGAUCAUAGAUUAAAUUUUAAAAAGUACAUUCUUAUAAUUUAAAAGAUCAUUUAAAAAAAAAAAAAAAACAAUAUAAAACAUCCACGUUCUUGAGAGAAUUUCAUGAAGAUAUCAUCAAAAGACAAUCUUAAAAUUUGAUAAAAGAAAAAAAUCAGUAAAGUAGUAAUCACAAAUUAAUUAGAAUAUAAUAUAUUUGUGAGUGAUAUUUUAGCUAUUUAUUACUUAUUAAUCUUUACCUCGUCAUUAUUUGCAAUGAAAUACAUAAGAUAUAAAAUAUAAUAUAAAAUAUCAUAGUAGAAAGAAAAUCUGAAAUAUGUAGAUAUGAUGAUGAAUAUAAAAUAGAAAAUAUAGUACAUAGCUACUGAAAUGAAAAUCCUUCAUAGAUCCAUCCUUUAAUGAUCCAGUUUAAAAAAAAAAAUAAGAGAAAUUAAAAAAAAAAGAAAGCAGGAUAAUACGAUGGAAACGUUCAAAAUCCCUCCCUCACUCGAUGGCUCCCCACCAAAGAGAAAUUAAGAUAAUUAAUCUAGAAUAAUUCUUUAUAUUUAUUAUUAUAUACAGCCAUUCCCUUGGUAGUAAUAAUAUUAUAUUUCUUAUAUCGCGAGUAAUACCGAUUCAGAUCUCAUUACGUGGAGGUUGCUGCAUACGAAGACAUUGCUGCAUAUAAUGAAAUAAAAUCGAUAGUACCGCGAGAUUUAUUUCUUAUGGCAAUAAAUUUCAUUCUCAUUUUCGUAACUCUCGUAUAUCACGAAUGUUCUUAUAAAUUUCAUUUUCAAAUAUUCAUAACUCGUAUUGGAUUACUUUUAUCAAAAAUGAAAAAUUCUUGAUUCUUAAUCUCUUCCCUUAAUCGCUGUGAAAGUAAAAUCUUCCUCACAAUUUUCUAUUCAUUUUGUGAUUUUAAAUAGUCAUAAUUUAUGAGAGGUAAAAAUUUUAAUUUAAUUUAAUUGAAUUUGAUAUUAAAAAAUUAAGAGAAAAUGAUAAAUUCUCGAUUAUAAUCUAAACAAAUAUUCUUUUCGCGUAACGCAUGGCAAAAGGAGAACUUUACAUAUAUUCCAAUGUACUUGUUCUAUAAGCACGAACAAACACUGCUUUUAUUUCACAACUUUUUAAUUUUUAUUUUAGCUAUUGAUUUUAUUUUAGUUGAUAUUAAAUGAAAGAAAUGACUUUGCAUUCAAAAUUUAAUCAUCUCAUUGUUUAAAUAAUAGUUUACUGUAC